CGGGACGGGUGAGUAAUGUCUAGGGAAACUGCCUGAUGGGAGGGGAUAACUACUGGAAACGGUAGCUAAUACCGCAUAACGUCGCAAGACCAAGAGGGGACCUUCGGGCCUCUUGCCAUCGGAUGUGCCCAGAUGGGAUUAGCUAGUAGGUGGGGUAACGGCUCACCUAGGCGACGAUCCCUAGCUGGUCUGAGAGGAUGACCAGCCACACUGGAACUGAGACACGGUCCAG
rnacentral:rRNA from 1 species